rnacentral:rRNA from 1 species
UACGGGGGGAGCAAGCGUUGUUCGGAUUUACUGGGCGUAAAGGGCGCGUAGGCGGCCUCUGCAAGUCGACUGUGAAAUCUCCGGGCUUAACCCGGAAAGGUCAGCCGAUACUGCAGGGCUAGAGUGCAGAAGGGGCAACUGGAAUUCUCGGUGUAGCGGUGAAAUGCGUAGAUAUCGAGAGGAACACCUGCGGCGAAGGCGGGUUGCUGGGCUGACACUGACGCUGAGGCGCGAAAGCUAGGGGAGCAAACGGG